GCGGGAGUAGUUCAGUGGUAGAACGUCAGCUUCCCAAGCUGAAUGUCGCCGGUUCGAUCCCGGUCUCCCGCUCCA
rnacentral:tRNA from 8 species